rnacentral:rRNA from 1 species
UACGUAGGGGGCAAGCGUUGUCCGGAUUUAUUGGGCGUAAAGAGCGUGUAGGCGGCCAAACAGGUCCACUGUGAAAACGUCGAGGCUCAACCUCGAGAGGUCGGUGGAAACCGUAUGGCUAGGAGUCCGGAAGAGGAGAGUGGAAUUCCCGGUGUAGCGGUGAAAUGCGCAGAUAGUCGGGAAGCAACACCCGUGGCGAAGGCGGGCUCUCUGGGACGGUAC